UCCAAUAUCCAGUAGAUUCAUUCAGAUGUUGGAUGUGGCGACACGACUCAUUGAAUGUGUAGAUGUCCUCACUGUCUACUACUAUGGCUUCUUGACAGAGGACGAACGGGGCAACGAGUUGAUACAAUAAACUCAAGAACAAUGAUCGGUCAGGUUUUUCAAGGACAUGCUGUAUCAGAUGAAGCACAGGCAGCUAUAAUCUUACUUCUAUAAUCACAAGUAAAAGAGCAGAAAUAUGUUACAAGCACUGAGCGAAAAGAUCGUAUUUUGGAGCUGCUUUUCCAGCACAGGAGGGAGACCAUCACAAAGAUAAAUCAUUUCAGAGGCCUAUU